rnacentral:rRNA from 1 species
UACGUAGGGGGCAAGCGUUAUCCGGAUUUAUUGGGCGUAAAGCGAGCGCAGGUGGUUUAUUAAGCCUGGUGUAAAAGGCAGUGGCUCAACCAUUGUAUGCAUUGGAAACUGGUAGACUUGAGUGCAGGAGAGGAGAGUGGAAUUCCAUGUGUAGCGGUGAAAUGCGUAGAUAUAUGGAGGAACACCGGUGGCGAAAGCGGCUCUCUGGCCUGUAACUGACACUGAGGCUCGAAAGCGUGGGGAGCAAACAGG